rnacentral:misc_RNA from 1 species
AACCUUAUGGACCUGCGGGCGUAUACCUGCGGAAGGAUCAUUACCUAGAGUUGUAGGCUUUGCCUGCCAUCUCUUACCCAUGUCUUUUGAGUACCUUACGUUUCCUCGGUGGGUUCGCCCGCCGGUUGGACAAAACUUAAACCCUUUGUAGUUGCAAUCAGCGUCUGAAAAAACUUAAUAGUUACAACUUUUAACAACGGAUCU